GCAGGCAAGUGUCAAAAAUUGCAAAUUUUGCUUUGUUUUGAAUACAUACGUGAGCUAAAUUAUCACUAUUUAUUUAAAUUUAUUAGGUCGCAAUAAAUCCUAUAAUUAUCACACAAAGAUCAACAAGUGCAUAGCAAGAUUAUAAAGUGUUAGAAGCCAGUGGGUUAGAAAUAAAUAAGGUUUUGGUGAAAGGAUAUGUGUUAAACGUAAUUUGUUGUAAUUUUAUAAUUACACAAUGGGCAAUCAGCUGGUGGGUGUUGCUCCAUCACAGAUUUAUCCCGUAGAACACUAUCUGAGCGAUCAUGUUGACCUAUCAUUUGAUCAGAGCUUGGGUUCCACCCGCUUCCUGAAGGUAGCUAGAGCGAGAUCCCGUGAAGGUCUAGUGGUAGUGAAGGUGUUUGCUGUCCAUGACCCCUCGUUACCACUGGCUGAACAUAAGGAACGGAUCCUGAAGAUAAAAGAGCAGCUGGCUUCAGCAUUCAACUGUCUGCCAUUUCAGAGGGUUAUUCUAACAGACAAAGCCGGUCUCCUCAUGCGUGAGUACUGCAAAUGCAGUGUGUACGACCGCAUGUCCACCCGUCCGUUCCUCACCACGCUGGAGAAGAAGUGGAUCACCUUCCAAGUACUGUAUGCACUGCAUAGAAUGCAUAAGCUUGGGAUUUGUCAUGGAGAUAUCAAGCUAGAAAACAUAAUGGUGACAUCCUGGCUGUGGGUGCUGCUGACAGACAUAGCUUCCUUCAAGCCGACCUUCCUCCCUGACGACAAUCCGGCAGACUUCAGCUACUUCUUCGAUACCUCUCGCAGGAGGCUGUGCUAUGUGGCCCCUGAGAGAUUCGUGAGGGCUCCUGAUCCUCAUAAUAGACCUAUGAGUGAUGACAAAAUGGGCGGUCUCUUGUUAAGCGAAUCGCCAUGUAAAGUUGGCGAGCUCGUACCUAGCAUGGAUAUAUUUUCAGCUGGCUGUGCUCUCCUAGAACUUUGGAACGACGGCACUCCAGCCCUAGACCUCCCAGGUCUACUAGCCUACCGUAACGGAGAAGACAGGCCUCCGACCAUGACGCUCAGCACGGAUGACCCACAGUUGAGGACUCUCCUCCACUCCAUGACCGAGAGGAACCCGAGAGAUAGGAGGACUGCCGAGUUGUAUCUCGAUGAGGCGAGGGGCAAAUUAUUCCCGGAAUACUUCUACUCAUUCCUCCAAUCAUACAUGCUAAUAUUCUCCGCCCAACCAAUACUACCGCCCGACGAAAAAAUACUACGCAUUCACCAGGACAUUAAGAACAUUAUCAAGAUAUUCACCCAACCCUCCGAUGCUAAGAACUACCAAGACUUGGUCGAAGAAACUACAGACCAUCAGAAUAUUGACAGCAUUGAUAAAUUGAAGGAUAAGUUUAAAGUGCUCAAUGUUAAUACGACAGAUUUUGAUGAUGAAGAUGAUAAGGCCCCAGAGAGAAAAGAUAUGGGGCCCGAUAGUGAAGGGUUGAUAUUAAUUACGUCAUUAGUGACGUCAUGCAUUAGGGGGUUGCAUCAUUGUACUUCGAAGUUGUAUAGUUUGGAGAUUCUGCAGCUGUUGUGCGAGAAUUCGAGUUCGGAGACUAUUUUGGAUCGGAUUCUGCCUUAUAUUAUCCACCUAUCGCAUGACAACGUGUCCCGCGUCCGAGCCCGCGCCGUAGCCACCUGCGCCCGCGCAUUGUCCGCCGUACGCUUACUCCCCAACUCGGACUGCAACGUGUUCCCCGAGUACAUCCUGCCGGAGCUCGGCCCCCGCGCCACCGACCCCAGCGUGCCCGUGCGCAUCGCGUAUGCUAACAAUAUCGCUAAACUGGCGGAGACGGCAGUACGUUUCCUGGACCAGACACAAAAUAUGGUGGAGAAGGAAGCAGCUAACAUCAACUACGAGACUGAGCUGUCUGCUCUGCAUGAAAUGGUCCGCUCAACAGUAUCGUAUUUACUGACCGACUCGCAAGCGGUGGUCAAGCGAGCCUUAGUAGAAAAUGGCAUCACAAAGCUUUGUAUAUUCUUCGGAAAACAGAAAGCAAACGACGUGAUACUAUCGCACAUGGUGACGUUUCUGAACGACAAGGAGGAGGCUGCCCUGCGCGGGUGCUUCUUCGAGCGCGUGGUCGGCGUCGCCGCAUACGUGGGCCACCACGCCGCGCCUAUACUUGUACCACUCUUGCAACAGGGCCUAACAGACCAAUCAGAGUGGAUUAUAGCGAAGGCUUUACGGGCUACUACAAGUCUAGCAGAGCUAGGGCUACUGCCCAAACAGGCGCUCUGUGACCUGGUGGCCGAGAGCGCGGUGUUUCUAGCGCAUCCUAACUUGUGGAUUCGUCACGAGGUCUGUGGCCUAGUAUCAUGCGUGUCCAGCCUUCUAAACCCGAUUGACGUCAACUGCAAGAUACUACCCCUCGUCUGGCCACACCUCAAACACAAACUUAUACAGGUAGAAAGAGCAGAGUUACUGCUAGAAAGCUUGGCGGAACCUAUUCCCCGCAAGGUGUUAGAUGCAGUGCUGCGUCACGGGGAUGUGGACAGACUUGUACAUACGCUACGAGAGAGAAGGAAUACUAGACUCAAGGUAAAACAGGGCACCGUUCCACAAUAUUCGGAAAUGGGACAACAGCUCAGAAACUUGUUUAGAAGACUGGCUUCUGAUGGUAUGACGGAGCACGUGGAAAACCAGCUAUUGGCAAUGAGUGCGCAUUUAAUUAAAAUACAGGGCUCAUCAACACAGCACAUCACGGAGGCGCCAGGUCGGCUGGUGCUGGCCAAGGGCAUGUCUCGCGCCGUGCAGCUGGACUGCAUGCCGCAUGUCGACUGCGACGCACACAGCCGGCGCAGUCACAAGACAUCGGUAUCGCACGAGACGCAUAUGAACACGGAAUGGCAACACAUGUUCGGACAGUCACAUGAACAACAUUCUAGAGUUUCAGAGAGCGCGGCACAGUCGCAGCCGCUGUCGGCGGGCGGCGCCGCGUCGCCAGCCAUGUCUGUGCCGCCGCAGCACUCGCAGCUCGGGCACAGUGCUAGCUAUGUGCAAUACAGCAUGGCGCCGUGUCGCGUGGAGCUGAGAGACUUGACAGCCCGUAUGCAACAGAAAUAUCAGAAAUCGCUGAGGAGUCACGAUGACCCACUAGACAACAACGACGACAUGUUACCCCCGGCCGGCUGGCGGCCCGGGAACCAGCUGCUUGCCUACUUACAUGAACACAAGGCCCGUGUAAAUCAGAUGGUGACGCUACCAGCGCAGGUGUCGCUGUUCGGCUCGUGCUCCGACGACGGCACCGUGCGCCUGUGGGACGCGCAGCGCCUGCACACGCAGGCACACAUCAACAGGUAACACUGCCGUGUGCUGGCAACACUGCCAUGUCACAGACGGCACCGUGCGCCUGUGGGACGCGCAGCGCCUGCACACGCAGGCACACAUCAACAGGUAACACUGCCGUGUGCUGGCAACACUGCCAUGUCACAGACGGCACCGUGCGCCUGUGGGACGCGCAGCGCCUGCACACGCAGGCACACAUCAACAGGUAACACUGCCGUGUGCUGGCAACACUGCCAUGUCACAGACGGCACCGUGCGCCUGUGGGACGCGCAGCGCCUGCACACGCAGGCACACAUCAACAGGUAACACUGCCGUGUGCUGGCAACACUGCCAUGUCACAGACGGCACCGUGCGCCUGUGGGACGCGCAGCGCCUGCACACGCAGGCACACAUCAACAGGUAACACUGCCGUGUGCUGGCAACACUGCCAUGUCACAGACGGCACCGUGCGCCUGUGGGACGCGCAGCGCCUGCACACGCAGGCACACAUCAACAGGUAACACUGCCGUGUGCUGGCAACACUGCCAUGUCACAGACGGCACCGUGCGCCUGUGGGACGCGCAGCGCCUGCACACGCAGGCACACAUCAACAGGUAACACUGCCGUGUGCUGGCAACACUGCCAUGUCACAGACGGCACCGUGCGCCUGUGGGACGCGCAGCGCCUGCACACGCAGGCACACAUCAACAGGUAUAGAGAAAAUAAAGAUAACUAUAAAAAAAGGACGAUAUAUAAAAUCGUCAUCAUCACCUCCCUAGCCUUUUCCCUUCUUUAUUAAAGUGGGCUUCCAAUUUAACCGGAUGCAGCGGACUACCAGUGUUUUACAUGGAGUACCUGUCUACGUGCCUUCAUCAACCUAAUUACCCGGGCAUCUCGAUACCCCUUGAUAAGACUGGUUGUCAGGCUUUCUGGCUUCUAACUACCCGUAAUGAUUGCCAAAUAUGUUCAAACGACAGCCGAGAUCCACCUUUGACGUGCCUUCCGAAACACGGAGUCACUCGUCAUGUCAAGAUAGUC
rnacentral:misc_RNA from 1 species